rnacentral:tRNA from 1 species
CGGGGCAUAGCACAGUUGGCUAGUGCGCUGGGCUGGGGGUCCAGAGGUCGGCAGUUCAAGUCUGCCUGCCCCGA